rnacentral:rRNA from 1 species
UGGAAUAACCUCGGGAAACCGUGGCUAAUACCGGAUACGAAACGGAGCUGCAUGGCUGCCGUUUGGAAAGUUUUUCGGUUUGGGAUGGACUCGCGGCCUAUCAGCUUGUUGGUGAGGUAAUGGCUCACCAAGGCGACGACGGGUAGCCGGCCUGAGAGGGCGAUCGGCCACACUGGGACUGAGACACGGCCCAGACUCCUACGGGAGGCAGCAGUGGGGAAUAUUGCACAAUGGGCGAAAGCCUGAUGCAGCGACGCCGCGUGAGGGAUGACGGCCUUCGGGUUGUAAACCUCUUUCAGCAGGGAAGAAGCGAAAGUGACGGUACCUGCAGAAGAAGCACCGGCUAACUACGUGCCAGCAGCCGCGGUAAUACGUAGGGUGCGAGCGUUGUCCGGAAUUAUUGGGCGUAAAGAGCUUGUAGGCGGUUUGUCGCGUCUGCUGUGAAAAUCCGGGGCUCAACCCCGGACUUGCAGUGGGUACGGGCAGACUAGAGUGUGGUAGGGGAGACUGGAAUUCCUGGUGUAGCGGUGAAAUGCGCAGAUAUCAGGAGGAACACCGAUGGCGAAGGCAGGUCUCUGGGCCUCUACUGACGCUGAGAAGCGAAAGCAUGGGGAGCGAACAGGAUUAGAUACCCUGGUAGUCCAUGCCGUAAACGUUGGGAACUAGGUGUGGGUCUCAUUCCACGAGAUCCGUGCCGCAGCUAACGCAUUAAGUUCCCCGCCUGGGGAGUACGGCCGCAAGGCUAAAACUCAAAGGAAUUGACGG